UACGAAGGGAGCUAGCGUUGUUCGGAAUCACUGGGCGUAAAGCGCACGUAGGCGGAUGUGUCAGUCAGGGGUGAAAUCCCUCAGCUCAACUGGGGAACUGCGUCUGAGACUGGAAGGCUUGAGUGCAGGAGAGGAACGCGGAAUUCCAGGUGUAGCGGUGAAAUGCGUAGAUAUCUGGAGGAACACCGGUGGCGAAGGCGGCGUUCUGGACUGCAACUGACACUGAGGAACGAAAGCCAGGGGAGCAAACGGG
rnacentral:rRNA from 1 species